UAUCCCAUUACACUGCUGACAGAAGCACCCUCUCACUCCAGCUGUCAGUUGUAUCUUUUUCUCUCUUCUGCUGCAUUCACUCUGUCACUUUCUUCUUUCCAAACUCUUUAAUUGAACGUUCUCCCUGUCAAUAUCUCUGUCUCCUGCCGCACUUCUGAAGUCUCUCCGGACCACAUGAAAACAAAGGAGUCCAUUACUUCACAUGGGUUGUUUUCCCAAGGAUGGAAGGAAAAUGGUUCACUGCAAGUCAAAGUCUAAAGAGAUACCAGGAGGAGACACAGAGAAGUUGCUAAGCAGGGGGGAGAAGAGGUCAUUGUAAUUAAAAGAAUAAAGCAAGGCUGUUCCGCUUGUGUUGCAGGUAGCAGAAGGAUGUACUCUCUUUGCUACCGUAAGAACCGUUCUUCAAAAGAAUGCACAUCCAGCUGUAUCUAGCAAUGAGGAAGCUGGGCCACAGAGUAAUGACCUAUGAAUUGACAGCCGGUGUUUGCUAUUGGACUGCCUGUCAGUUCUGUAGGCCACUGCCCUGUUUGUCCUACCAACACGCCCAGAUUUCGACAGAGGGAAGGAAGGAGAGGCUCACUGAAAGGCGACUAAACAGAGAAGCAAGGUGCACUGGGAAACAGGCCAAAACCUUUGAUUAAAACUGAAACCUGUAUCUGCCAUCUGUCAGAAUCCAAGUCUCAUAUAUCAUCCUCAGCAUAUCGACGUCUCUGUGUUCAGUUUUAUAUUUGUCUGGCUGUGUAUUAAACAAUAAAUGAAUGAACAGACUGGUCACAGUGAA